rnacentral:sRNA from 1 species
AAGGGCGCAUGGUGAAUGCCUUGGUACUAGGAGCCGAUGAAGGACGGGACUAACACCGAUAUGCUUCGGGGAGCGGUAAGUACGCUUUGAUCCGGAGAUUUCCGAAUGGGGCAACCCAAUCAGCUUAGUCGUUGAUUACUUGACUAGUGAAU